rnacentral:rRNA from 1 species
UACGGGGGGGGGCAAGCGUUGUUCGGAAUUACUGGGCGUAAAGGGCGCGUAGGCGGCCACCGCAAGUCGACUGUGAAAUCUCCGGGCUUAACUCGGAAAGGUCAGCCGAUACUGCGGGGGCUAGAGUGCAGAAGGGGGCAACUGGAAUUCUCGGUGUAGCGGUGAAAUGCGUAGAUAUCGAGAGGAACACCUGCGGCGAAGGCGGGUUGCUGGGCUGACACUGACGCUGAGGCGCGAAAGCUAGGGGAGCGAACGGG